CACACAAAUAGUUGGUUGCUGCAUUCAAGGAAACAAAGUGAAAUCUAAUGAGAUAAGAAAAAAAUUGUUUGUUUGAUUUCUGAUCGUUGUUAUGAUAAGCUGUGUAUUUUAUUUGUCAAUUAUUAUGUUAUGUGAAUGAAAAUUUUCCUACUAUAGCAGUCAGAGUGAACAUUCCUCACGUAAACAGUGCAGGGAGACACACAGACAUACGGACAUACAUACAGACAGACAGUCAGUCAGUCCCGCAGCGCCUCCGUGACAGCCAGCAGGGUGGAGUACGCCAACCCUGCAUUUUGACCCCUGUCCCUCCACUCUUCCCGCCAGGUGUUAAAUGUUAAUGAGCAGUGCAGUGAGGUGAUGUGAGUCGCAUGACACAGCGUCCGUCAUGCCCGUGGUGCUCGACAGACUGCCCCUGCCUAACCUGACUUGGUACACGGGCCUCAGUGUGGUGUUGCUCGCCUGUUCGGUGUACUAUGCUGGCGUCCAGGUCACCCUCAACCCUAACUGGAAGGAGAGGUUGCUGGAGAAGACAACCGCCACUGAUGAUGAGGUGUCCCUGUAUCACGUCAGCGGCGGGGGUCAUGAGGCCCCCGGGGGUGAGGGGCGCCACAUGACCCCAUACCUCAUCCCAGAGGUCAUCAGCUUCAUGUUUCACGAGCCUCUCUGCAUCUGGACUCUAAUCAACAUAGCAUACUGUGUCCUCAUCCUGCUUGGCACCCUCAUCCAGCGCCUGGUGUUUGGGGAGCUGCGUGUCUCAGAGCAGCAGCACAUCAAGGACAAGUUUUGGAAUUUUGUAUUUUACAAAUUUAUUUUUGUCUUUGGUGUGAUGAAUGUCCAAGCCAUGGAUGAAGUUGUUCUGUGGUGUUCCUGGUUCAGUGUCUUGGGGUUCCUGCAUCUCCUUGCACAGCUCUGCAAAGAUCGCUUUGAAUACUUGUCCUUCUCAGCCACCACCCCGCGCCGCACACACAUCCGUCUGUUGGGUCUCCUCAGCAUCAUCCUCACCAUAGCCACAUUUUGUCUCUUCAUAUGUGUGGUGGUUGGCUGUCACUCUGGCUUCAAUACCUUUGCCUUUAUGGUUGCUGAGUGUAUACUCCUGAUUGUCCGAACUCUGUAUGUAAUCACCCGCUACUGUAUCUACCUCUGGGACGUCACCCAUGAAGGCUUGUGGGAGAAACGUGGACGUUAUGUGUACUUUACUGAGCUGGUGUUCGAACUGAGUGAGUUGGUGAUUGACAUGGUCCAUCACAUUCACAUGCUGGUGUGGGGUAACAUGUUCCUCACUAUGGCAUCUCUAGUGAUAUGCAUGCAGUUGCGGCUCCUUUUCUACCAGCUCCAGCACAAAGUCAAGUCUCAUCGGAAUUACCUGCGUGUGCUUCAGCUCAUGAAUAUGUACCCUGAGGUGAGUGGUGCAGACAUCUUAGCUGAGGACAGCACAUGUGCCAUCUGCUGGGAGCAUCAGGAAACUGGCCGUUGCCUGCCUUGCUCCCACGUCUUUCAUGCAUCCUGCCUACUGGCCUGGCUACACCAAGAUCUCUCAUGUCCGACAUGUAGGCACAAGUUACAUAAACCUGAGCCUAAUGAGACUGCAUCAUUGUUGGAUGGCUUGCUGCCCACUGUGGAAGAGAAUGGUCUGGGACAAGACAACAGAGUCAAUGAUGCACAUGGGGCAGGGAGUCCCUUCCCAUCUCCUGCUGCACCUGAAGGUUCUGGCACUCCAGGGUGGCGCUAUGUCUCCUGGCUGCCUAGUUUUAGUGUUGAGCAGAGCCACACACAGCUCCCCCGACACCAGCAAGCCAGUGCACAACCUGCAUCAACAUCCCAAUUGGAUGGGCUUGCUAGACAGGUGCAGCAGAUGUUUCCUGAUGUUUCUUAUUCACAUAUUUUGGAGGAUUUGAGACACACCCAUUCCUUAGAAGUUACAAUUGACAACAUUUUAGAACAGCGCUUGGUUAAUCCUCCACCAAUGUUCACCUCUCAUAAUAGUCACAGUUCUUUAUAUGAUGGCACACAUGAAGAAGCUGAAAAUAGCCCUCAGUCAAAUGUGGAUGAGGAUGUUAUUGAAGAAGAAGAACACUUUCAGGAUGCACUGCCACUCCUGCAGAAUAAGUCAUGUUUGCCUGAGCUCUCUUUAAAGACCAGCAGCAGUUCCUGUGAAGAUUCCAGUGACACAGAUUCUGAUGGAAGUUGGUCACCGGUUGGGUCCUUUGGAACUGGUGGUCGGUUUAGCAAAUCCCCAAGAGAGAGAGAGCAAAUGCUGGCUCAGCGAAAGUCUGCACUGGUGUCUCAAGCACGUCGAAGAUUUGUCUCCCACUCAAGAGGUGACAUAGAGGAGGGGGAUGGGGAAGCCCUGCAUGAGGAUGGAAGUCUAGACACUUCACAAACAAUGGGCAUUCCAUCUAGGCACAAAUCCAGCUCACCCAGCUACUCAUUCUUCUUUUUCUGGGGGGUUGGUUGAUAAAUGUCUUCCUGGAGAAACUUUGGGAAGGAAAACUGAAGCCCUAUAAGUCACAAUGCUGAGUCUGACAAGACAGCCAGACGUUACCCUACGGAACGAACUCAG
rnacentral:misc_RNA from 1 species